rnacentral:rRNA from 1 species
UACGGGGGGAGCAAGCGUUGUUCGGAUUUACUGGGCGUAAAGGGCGCGUAGGCGGUCAGCACAAGUCAGUUGUGAAAUCUCCGGGCUUAACCCGGAAAGGUCAACUGAUACUGUGCGACUAGAGUGCGGAAGGGGCAACUGGAAUUCUCGGUGUAGCGGUGAAAUGCGUAGAUAUCGAGAGGAACACCUGCGGCGAAGGCGGCGACCUGGACAAGCACUGACACUCAACUACGAAAGCGUGGGGAGCAAACAGG